rnacentral:rRNA from 1 species
CUCUUUCUUGAUUUUGUGGGUGGUGGUGCAUGGCCGUUCUUAGUUGGUGGAGUGAUUUGUCUGCUUAAUUGCGAUAACGAACGAGACCUUAACCUGCUAAAUAGCCCGUAUUGCUUUGGCAGUACGCUGGCUUCUUAGAGGGACUAUCGGCUCAAGCCGAUGGAAGUUUGAGGCAAUAACAGGUCUGUGAUGCCCUUANAUGUUCUGGGCCGCACGCGCGCUACACUGACGGAGCCAGCGAGUACUCCCUUGGCCGGAAGGCCCGGGUAAUCUUGUUAAACUCCGUCGUGCUGGGGAUAGAGCAUUGCAAUUAUUGCUCUUCAACGAGGAAUCCCUAGUAAGCGCAAGUCAUCAGCUUGCGUUGAUUACGUCCCUGCCCUUUGUACACACCGCCCGUCGCUACUACCGAUUGAAUGGCUCAGUGAGGCGUCCGGACUGGCCCAGGGAGGUGGGCAACUACCACCCAGGGCCGGAAAGCUCUCCAAACUCGGUCAUUUAGAGGAAGUAAAAGUCGUAACAAGG